CUGAGGGAUAUUGAGGACGCUGACAAGUUGGUCGCGGCUAUGCAAGCCAAGAAGGAUGGAAAGGCUGUGAUUGUCGGAGGUGGCUACAUAGGACUUGAGCUUAGCGCAGCCUUGAAGACCAACAAUUUUGAUGUCACUAUGGUGUACCCUGAACCUUGGUGCAGUAAGUCUCCUUAUUCUUUGCAUCCAGAAAGAUUUACUACUAUAAAUUGUGUUUUCUGAAUACUCAACAGCAAGGAAACAAAUACCUCUCAUCUUUAUAGUUGUAACGUAUUUGGCCAAUGAAAUCUCAUAUUGGAGAUGCCAUCUGUUGUAGUGCCCCGUCUCUUCACUUCUGGCCUUGCUGCUUUCUACGAGGGAUACUACGCUAACAAAGGAAUCCAUAUCAUAAAGGGAACCGUGGCUGUUGGUUUUGAUGCUGAUGCCAAUGGAGAUGUGAGCACUCUGUAGUUACCACUUAGUCCAGUAUCAUCUUGCUGUGAAGGCAAAUGUUCACCUUGUUAAUUUUUUUUUUCUGUUGGCAGGUUACUGCGGUGAAGCUAAAGAAUGGAAACGUGCUGGAAGCUGACAUUGUUAUUGUCGGUGUCGGUGGCAGGCCACUGACUCAUCUCUUCAAGGGUCAAGUUGCAGAGGAGAAGGGUGGAAUCAAGGUUUGUCCGGUUUCUGUUCAUCUUUCAGAUUCUGCUCUAUCUGCUACAUUUGUUGCGUGAUGAUUGUAUUUCAGGCUAUUGUCCAUUUGAGUCACCCUAAUUAGCAACUGAACCUUCUUUCGAGCUUGUUCUUGCUUAUACCUUCGAAUUAGCUGAACAUUUCAAAUCUGCAUGUGUCUUCCAGACUGAUGCAUUCUUCGAAACGAGCGUUCCUGGUGUAUACGCCAUUGCCGACGUGGCCGCCUUCCCGAUGAAGCUAUACAAUGAGAUUAGGAGAGUAGAGCAUGUUGACCAUGCUCGCAAAUCAGCCGAGCAGGCCGUGAAGGUGAGCCAUCCGUUCGUUCUUGAUUCUUCAUCCUCGUUGCCGCCAUUGAUCAGGAUUCAGAAGUUCUUUGUGAUAACCAAAUUCACUGGCUUCAAUGAACUUGCAGGCGAUCAAGGCGAAGGAGGCCGGCGAGUCGGUGCCGGAGUACGACUACCUGCCCUACUUCUACUCCCGGUCGUUCGACCUCUCGUGGCAGUUCUACGGCGACAACGUCGGCGAGGAUGUGCUGUUCGGCGACAACGACCCCACGGCGGCCAAGCCCAAGUUCGGCUCGUACUGGAUCAAGGACGGCAAGGUCGUCGGCGUCUUCCUCGAGGGCGGCUCGGCGGAG
rnacentral:lncRNA from 1 species